rnacentral:rRNA from 1 species
AAGCGGGUGUGGAGCGCGCAAAAGCUCAAAUUUGAAAUCUGGCACCUUCGGUGUCCGAGUUGUAAUUUGAAGAAGCUACUUUGUGGGCUAGUCCUUGUCUAUGUUCCUUGGAACAGGACGUCAUGGAGGGUGAGAAUCCCGUAUGGCGAGGAGUCUAGUCCUAUGUAAAGUGCUUUCGACGAGUCGAGUUGUUUGGGAAUGCAGCUCUAAGUGGGUGGUAAAUUCCAUCUAAAGCUAAAUAUUGGCGAGAGACCGAUAGCGAACAAGUACAGUGAUGGAAAGAUGAAAAGAACUUUGAAAAGAGAGUGAAAAAGUACGUGAAAUUGUUGAAAGGGAAGGGCAUUUGAUCAGACAUGGUGUUUUGCGACCCUCGCUCCUUGUGGGUGGGGAUCUCGCAGCUCACUGGGCCAACAUCAGUUUUGGCGGUAGGAUAAAUCUUUGGGAACGUGGCUUGUCUUCGGAGAAGCGUUAUAGCCCAGGGGAAUACUGCCAGCCGGGACUGAGGACUGCGACUUUUGUCAAGGAUGUUGGCAUAAUGGUUAUAAUGCCGCCCGUCUUCGUAAACACGGACCAAAG